CCUACGGGAGGCAGCAGUGGGGAAUAUUGCACAAUGGGGGAAACCCUGAUGCAGCGACGCCGCGUGAGUGAAGAAGUAUUUCGGUAUGUAAAGCUCUAUCAGCAGGGAAGAAAAUGACGGUACCUGAUUAAGAAGCCCCGGCUAACUACGUGCCAGCAGCCGCGGUAAUACGUAGGGGGCAAGCGUUAUCCGGAUUUACUGGGCGUAAAGGGAGCGUAGACGGCAGCACAAGUCUGGAGUGAAAUGCCGGGGCUUAACCCCGGAACUGCUGUGGAAACUGUGCAGCUAGAGUGCAGGAGAGGUAAGUGGAAUGCGUGGUGUAGCGGUGAAAUGCGUAGAUAUUAGGAGGAACACCAGUGGCGAAGGCAGCUUACUGGACUGAAACUGACGUUGAGGCACGAAAGCGUGGGGAGCGAACAGGAUUAGAUACCCGGGUAGUC
rnacentral:rRNA from 1 species